UGCCUAGUGAUUAGAACUUGUGCUUGAUGAUACAUGUGAGUAGGACUGAGGUGUUUUUAAUAGGGAGAUGGAGGGAAUACACGUCUCCUCUCCCACGAAAACUGCCUAAUGAGAUGCCUGUUGCCUGGUCUUCAAUUACCAAUGUCAAAGCUGCAUACAACCUAGAUUUUAGACACACCACAAACAGGGUGCAUUUUUACAGACACGUGCUUGAAGUGAGACAAGGUUGUAGUUAAUAGGCUCAGUUCAUACUGUAAUGGGAAGCACGAGCUGCCCUGUGGACACGAAGGCAGACUGUUUCUCAUCAGCAUGGAGAGCUUACGUCAUUUUUCAGAGUUACAGAGGCUGUGAUGGCAUUUGUUUACCUAACUGAUUCCUGUGCCAGGUAUAGUGCUGCUGGCAGGAAACGGGAGCUGAAUGGGAUUGCUUCUUUCAGGCUUUUACUCAGGGUCCAGUGCUGGGUGUUUCUAGUUUCCGGAUGGGGUGUGCCUUCAACUGCUGUUUCUCUGGUUGCCAGGAGGGACACGGAAGAUAAAUGACAUGGCAGAGCAUUUCAAGCUCUCAUUCAGGCUAUGGUUGCUAGGUGGUUUUGGUUCCCAGUCUGGGUGUGUCCUCUGCUUCUGUGGCUUCCAGCAGGCACAGUGAAGAUAGAUAGACAGAUGAUAUAGCAAGCGCUUUAUAGCUUUUGUUCAGGCUCAAGUGUCUUCCUCAUUCUUGUACAAGAUCACCAGUAUCUGUGAAAGGGAGGAAGGUGCCUGCGUGUGUCAAACAUCUGUGUAUUUAAGAAGAUGCUACGAGGUGCACUGAGCCUGGAAUGGGUGCGGUGGAGGCAUAGGAGCUGAGAGCACCAGCCCCAGGAACCAGCAGAACCGGUUCUGCUCUGUACAGCCUGGGAAAUCUUGCCUUCAAAGACAUGACUCGAUUGCUUUUACUAGAAUAUCCAGCUCAAAUUCAGAUAGCUUCCUCUGCAUCGCUCCUGAAAAUGAAAUGGACUCAAUACCUAAUAAUGGAAUUAAGCCAGUUACAGUCUCUGAUUGUGCACCAAAGACACUGCAAUUUUCUCUUUUUCAGAAAAACUCAGCACGCAGAAAGAUGGAGACUAGCACUCUUUCUCUUUGAGAGAAAAGCAUUUUGGCAAUUUGGGAUUAUUUUCCUUAAAACAAAUGUCACUUUAUGGGACAUGCAAAAACAGUUUACAAGGAUUAGGCAUUGUUCUGUCCUUAGUAGGGAGGCAGAGGGCCAGCAGGAUCAGGUCACAGAUUUAGUGAAAUGCUUGAUACUAGACUUCUCAGACAGACGCUCCCAGUAAAAUCUUUAAAACAUAAUUAAACAAACAUUAACAUGAAGAAUAGGCUUCUCAGUCCAAACUCAAGUUGCCCUUUUUUUAAGCUCAAAAAAAAGUGUAGGGUUUUCAGCAAGAUAAACUUCUUCUAUACAGAGCAAAGGUGAGAACCCAAUAAUCUGAAACUAGUGUCAUUUGAACCAGAAGAAAGGCGAGUAAUUACUUAUCAAAAAGCGAUCAGUGACCAGUUUCUGAAAUUCUAUCUAGCACGUUACAAAAAUGAUUCACCACCCAGCACAAGGGAAAUGAGUGGCUUUGUAACAACUGUAGGCUCCCACAGCAGAGCUAGAGGUGUGGCUAGUCUCUCCUCAACCCAAGGAGAUAAGCAAGGUUUUGAAAGAAAAGAGCAGAGCCGAAGCCCUUAGCUCUGUUGCUCAACCUGGAGAAAUACACCAAAUCUUCAAGAAAAUGCUCAGCUUUGAGCUGGUAAGCAGUUAUUUAGACAAUCGAGAGAAAGAUUACUGCCAACUGGAAGAAAAGUUUUAAAAUUGGUCCUUCUUAAAGCAGACAAGGCUGUGCAGAACCACAAUGGUUAUUCACUCAUCUUCCUUAUAAAUGCUCAUAUAAAACUAUUUGAGGCUAUAUUUUGUAGGAAGCUUGAUGAGGUCACGAGUGACUUUGUCCAGGCUAAUCAGAUUAGAUUUAUUUUCUAACAAGUUCAGACAACAACCAGUUGAUUAGUAUUAUGGCAUCCCAUCCACAUUCUAAGGUCCCUAUGCAGCCAUUUUGCUAUAAACAGAGAAAGUGUUUGAUUGACUGAACUAGCAGCUCGCUGAAUGUUAGAUAAAUCAGUAGUCAGCAACUUUUUUCCGUUUGUGGACUCAUAUUUUCCAGUGGAGGUACAGAUCCCUAAAGAGUGAUUUAUCUGACUGAAAAUAGCCUUGCUUUUCUCAGUUGCCUUUCUUGGACCCCUCAGAAGUACCCUGAUCAUGGGCUGAAAAUCACUGAUAUAUGUGUUCACCUGUGACUCUGUGUGUGAAAUAGUCUCAAGUCUAACUCCCGGAUAAACACAUCUUUCCCCUUGUCUCUUUAUUCACCUCUUUCAAGCAACUAGUCAGGAACGUCUCUUCACCCCACUCUGAUGGGAGUAUACUCCUAAGGAAUUCAAUAGUACACAUGCAUGCGCUCAAGACAAAAGUUUAGAAGAUAAAAAUACCUUUACCUGCAGACAAUAUCCUCUUACUUGGUACAAUCCCAGAUCAAUCUAGUCUGCACUGUAUUCUCUUUAUAAAAUAAAUUAGAAUAAACUGAAAGGACUUACCA
ensembl:lncRNA